rnacentral:misc_RNA from 1 species
GUCACGCCCGAAGUCGUUACCCCAACUUUUCGGAGAGGGGGAUGCCGAAGGCAGGUCUGGUGACUGGGGUGAAGUCGUAACAAGGUAGCCGUACCGGAAGGUGUGGCUGGAUCACCUCCUUUUAGGGAGACCGAAUCCACUCAAACAUCGAAAACAAAUUGUGAUUAGAUACUGAGUUGGUCAUUCCUAGGUCGGUCGAGUAUUGGUGAAAGCUUUCAAAGUAUUUUUGGUUCAGUUCAUUCCUAAACACCAAAAUUUUCUGGAAUAUAAAUUCAGCAAUUGAUCGAUAGAACAAUCGAACUGCUGGGUGAUUAUCCAGCCAGAACCUUGAAAACUGCAUAGUAACGCGAAAAAAAGCAGGCAGACGAAUUGGAGUCCUGAGUGCUUCGAGACUGAGUGCUGAGUCAAAUCAGUGCCAAGAAAGAAGUAAACAGAACGAAGAAAAGUUUGCAGAAAAACACCAAUGUAAAUGUGGUCAAGCUAAUAAGGGCUUACGGUGGAUACCUAGGCACACAGAGG